GAUGAACGCUGACAGAAUGCUUAACACAUGCAAGUCGAUGGGGAAGUGGUGCUUGCCCCAUGGCAACCCUGGCGGACGGGUGAGUAACGCGUAAGGGACUUACCUGCAGGACUGGGAUAACAGGGGGAAACUCCUGACAAGACCGGAUAAUGUCAUGGAGCUGCAUGGCUUUAUGAUGAAAGGAGACGCCUGCGGAGAGCCUUGCGUCCUAUUAGCUAGUUGGUGAGGUAAUGGCUCACCAAGGCGAAGAUAGGUAGCCGGCCUGAGAGGGUGGACGGCCACAAGGGGACUGAGAUACGGCCCUUACUCCUACGGGAGGCAGCAGUGGGGAAUAUUGGACAAUGGGGGCAACCCUGAUCCAGCAAUUCUGUGUGCACGAAGAAGGUUUUCGGAUUGUAAAGUGCUUUCAGCAGGGAAGAAGUAAGUGACGGUACCUGCAGAAGAAGCGACGGCUAAAUACGUG
rnacentral:rRNA from 1 species